UACGGAGGAUGCGAGCGUUAUCCGGAUUUAUUGGGUUUAAAGGGUGCGUAGGCGGACGCUUAAGGCAGCGGUAAAAUUGCGGGGCUCAACCUCGUCGAGCCGUUGAAACUGGGUGCCUUGAGUGGGCGAGAAGUACGCGGAAUGCGUGGUGUAGCGGUGAAAUGCAUAGAUAUCACGCAGAACUCCGAUUGCGAAGGCAGCGUACCGGCGCCCAACUGACGCUGAAGCACGAAGGCGUGGGUAUCGAACAGG
rnacentral:rRNA from 1 species